AAAGUACUCCCUCCGAUCCAUAUUAAUUGUCGAAAUAUUACAUGUAUCUAGACAAUUUUUAGGCAUAGAUACAUCCAUUUUUGGCCAAAUUUGAGACAAUUAAUAUGGAUCGGAGGGAGUACUAA
rfam:Brachypodium distachyon strain Bd21 chromosome 1, whole genome shotgun sequence.